rnacentral:rRNA from 1 species
GACGAACGCUGGCGGCGUGCUUAACACAUGCAAGUCGAACGGAAAGGCCCUGCUUUUGUGGGGUGCUCGAGUGGCGAACGGGUGAGUAACACGUGAGUAACCUGCCCUUGACUUUGGGAUAACUUCAGGAAACUGGGGCUAAUACCGGAUAGGAGCUCCUGCUGCAUGGUGGGGGUUGGAAAGUUUCGGCGGUUGGGGAUGGACUCGCGGCUUAUCAGCUUGUUGGUGGGGUAGUGGCUUACCAAGGCUUUGACGGGUAGCCGGCCUGAGAGGGUGACCGGCCACAUUGGGACUGAGGUACGGCCCAGACUCCUACGGGAGGCAGCAGUGGGGAGUAUUGCACAAUGGGCGGAAGCCUGAUGCAGCAACGCCGCGUGCGGGAUGGCGGCCUUCGGGUUGUAAACCGCUUUCGCCUGUGACGAAGCGUGAGUGACGGUAAUGGGUAAAGAAGCACCGGCUAACUACGUG